UAACUGUAUACAGGUCCCUACAAACAUAGCGACUUGCAAAUGUUUUCCAACAGAGUUCAACUUUCAUAUAUUGUUCCUAUAAAAGUUCUAAUAUUUUCAAAUAUGUCCCUGCCAUUAGAAUCUGUUAGAAAAAUUUAGUAAGUAUAGAUUAAAUACUGAAUCUUGGUUAGUUAAUGAGGUGAAUUGACCUUUUUAUCCCUCUUCAAUUAACAGUUGAGAAUUACGAAUAAAUAUAUUUGUGAUGACAAAAAAUUUAUUUCACUUAUAAAACAACAGUACUUUAACGGUAACAAACCAGAGUAAAAUAAUUGAAAAUAUUA
rnacentral:lncRNA from 1 species